GUAUGGCAGAGAGAAAGCUUAGCUCUAUAUCUCAUUGCUGCGUGCCUCAAUGUAACGGGGAUAGCAGACAGGACUUUUCCCUAUCAUUCCAUCGCUUCCCCAGGGAUCCUGUGUUCUGAAAACAAUGGAUCAUUAAAAUUAGGAGAGACGAAGAGCCAAACUUUAAGAUUACAGAUUCUACUUUUGUGUGCUACAGGCACUCAAAACCAGAUGAUAUUGUUAAAUCUUUAACUGGACUCAGAAAACUACGACAUGGAGUUUUACCAAGUGUAUUUCCCUAGUCAAAAAUAGCAUCUCCUCGAAAGCCCUCAAAGAGGAAACCUCCACCUCAGUGUGACAAUGCGACUGAAGAAAAGUUAACCACACUUGCCGUAAGCUCUACAAAAUCGUGCAUGCAGCCUCCGAGCCUUGAACACGAUUACUGUGUUGAGAAACCCUCACCAGAAGAAGAUCUUGAAGUAAGUUACAAAGGAUGUCUUAUGUUCUGUUUGUGAAUAUAAGUAUAUUUACAACUUUUCAAAAGUUUUUUUAUACCCCCACUUCAAAAGAGAGGGAAUUAAAGUUUUUUAAACUGUUUCAUCCCUGUGUG